AUCUCUUUGCCUUUUGGCUUAGAUCAAGUGUAGUAUCUGUUCUUUUCAGUGUAACAACUGAAAUGUCCUCAAUGAGGAUGUUUAUUAAGUUACAAAUCAUAUUUUUGGAAAUGACUUAGGGAGGAGAGAGAUGUAAGGGUCCCUGGUAUCCAGGGGAAGGGGUCUUAUAUGUGGCUGGGCUGUAAGUUUUGUUACGGAGA
rnacentral:snRNA from 17 species